rnacentral:piRNA from 1 species
UUGAAAAAAAAAAUAGAUUUCUAAGUGUC